CCCUUAGAUGUUCUGGGCCGCACGCGCGCUACACUGAUGCAUUCAACGAGUCUAAAACCUGCUCUGAUAGGGGUGGGUAAUCUUUUGAAUGUGCAUCGUGAUUGGGAUAGAUGAUUGCAAUUUUUCAUCUUCAACGAGGAAUGCCUAGUAAACGCAAGUCAUCAGCUUGCAUUGAUUACGUCCCUGCCCUUUGUACACACCGCCCGUCGCUCCUACCGAUUGAAUGAUCCGAUGAAUAUCAUAGACUGAGAGUAUAAGCAGGUUCGCCUGUCUUUGUUUCUCGGGAAGUGAAGUAAAUCUUAUCAUUUAGAGGAAGGAGAAGUCGUAACA
rnacentral:rRNA from 1 species